AGCGGCUACAUUACAGUGGUAACAUGGAGAACAGGAUCGUCGGCCAACAAGAACGAGAACAGUAUCAGCAUCAUCAGCGAGUCGUUGUCGAAAGCUGCAGCGGUGAAUCGUCCACGAAACAAAAAAAAUUUCUGCCAUGAGACGCUGACGACGACCAAGAAGACGACGACGACGACGACGACGACAAAAUUAUCAGCAGCGGCCUCGACCGAGCGUUGUUCAGUGAACGGUGGAUCAGUAGGUAGACAUCGGUUGGAUAGCACUAGCAGCUCGUCCUUCGUCAUAGCAAGCCGAUGAAGCUCAGCCAAAUGCCGAGUCUCGUGUACCUGAGCCGGCGUACGAACGCCGCCAGUGGUAGCACUCAGGAAGCAGCAGCGCAAGUAGCAGCCGAUGUGGCUGUCUUACCUUCGGCAGCAGAUAGCCAGCAGCAGCAGCAGAUAGCCAGUGUAACUGGCGGUGUCUUACCAACGCUGAUGAAGAAGCAGCAGCAGCAGUUGCUCGCCGCCGCAGCCGCCGAGAAUCUGGAUCAUCAACAUCAACAUCAUCAUCAUCAUACUGCCAUCGUUGGCGCAGUCGUCAUCGCCGACAAGCUCGACCAGCAGCAGCAACAGCAACAGCAACUGACCGCGGGGCAGCAGCGACUGUUGGCCGUCGACUCCGAGAACUACAUGCUACGUAACGGUAGCUGCGAUCAGCAGCAGCCUCAACAGACUCAAUCUCAAAAUCACAGCAACGGCAUCAAGUCGAUCAUCAGGUCGACGGCGAAUCAUCUGAAAUCGUCGUCCACCUCGACGAGCAUCAGCAGCAGCAACAGCAGCGGCAGCAUCAGCAACGGCAGCAGCAGCGGCAGCGGCGCUGGCAGUGCAGGAGCCAGUAGUGUGAGCAGCAGUAACUGCAGCAGCGGAGCUGCGCCGUUGUUCGCCGGCAAGAGCUGCGCCAGAUUGGCCAGCUUUCAUCGCUUGCUGUGCUGGUGCGACGAGCAGCAGACUACUGGCGGCGGCUACGUUUUCAACAACAACAAUAACAACAACAACAACAAUAGCAACAACAACAAUAUCAAUAAUAACAUCGGCAGCAGCAGCAGCAACAGAACCAGUGGCGGUGGCAGUGCUAUCGCGUCCGCCGUUGGUAGUCCCAGCAGCAGCAGCAGCAGCAGUGGUGGUGGUGGUGGCAGUAGCUGUCAAAACAGCAGCAGCAGCAGCAACAACAACCACAACAACAGUGACGACUUAGUUAUCGGUAGUAAUAGUAAUGGUAGUAGUAGUAGUAAUAAUGCGCGUGCCGGUGCAGCAUCGGGUGUUGUCGAUCAUUUGGUAGUAGUCGCGAGUGCAACGACAACAACAACAACAGCGUCGGGCUCCUCCUCUCCCCUGAAUCAGAUUCAGUCCCUUGAACAACAACAACAGCAGCCACCGAUCAGCAAUGGCGUCGGUGGUUUCAAUAGUACUAAUACUAGUAAUAACGCAAUAAUAACUGUCGAGAGAAAAUGUUGCUGUAUGUGCGGUUCCGUUUGUCCCUCAGAGUGUCACGCGUGCUUUCACAACGUCUGCAAGGACAGGUCCCACGAGCGGCCCUGCAGAUGGAGCGCCAAGAGCGAGCAACGCCAGCCGCCGGUCUACAAUAAAGAUAAGCCCGUCAGCGAGUGGACUGCGCUAAAUGUAGUCGAGUGGAUGGCUGCGCUAAAUCUCUAUCGCUAUGCGGACGUAUUCAAGUCCAAGGAUAUCAAAGGUAGCGAUCUGCUUAACUUGGACCGGGAGAAGCUAUUGAACAUGGGCAUCAAGGAUGAAUUUCACCAGAAAAAUAUACUCGUGUGCAUCGAGGAAUUGUGCCAGUCGCCGAGCAGCGAUAGCAGCGGCAACGGCGGUGGCAACGGCGAUGCCCCGGCUACGUCGUCGUCCUCGACGAGCUCGGCCGAGAACACCACCACCACCAACACGACGACGACGACAGCAGCUACGGCCGCAGCAGCGUCGCAUCCGCACAAUCUCCAGCCGCACAGUUUUAGCGUGCUGCAGAAAUGCGACAAGUGCCAUAAAUAUCUGCGAGGAUUGUUGCACCAAGGUUUUCUCUGCCAAGAUUGCGGUCUUGUAGCUCACCGAACGUGCUCGGCUACUGGUCUACCUAUUCCCUGUGCGCACGGCCAGGAAACGUGCGUCCUCAAAUUCUCUUCCGUAUUCGGUCAAGCCCUGUGCGCGCAAUUCGACGCGUCGGCGCGCGCGGCGCCGAUCCUGAUCGAGCGCUGCACCCGGGCGCUCGAGGAGCACGCCGCGGCCGACCCCAAGCUCGAUCUCUACAAGGUCUACCACAGCAGUCCGCCCAGCGAGCAGACGAUGGAGCUGCGCCAGAAGCUGAACGAGGACGUGCGCAGCACCGAUCUCGAGACCUACACGCCCUACUGCGUGGCCAGCGUGCUGAAGAAGUUUCUCCGCGAGAUGCCCGACCCGGUGAUACCGGUGCAGUUCUACGACAGCUUCCUCGAGGCCGCGGCGGGCGGCAACGACGAGCAGUGCGCCAAGCGUCUGGCUCAGCUGAUCAACGACCAUCUGCCGGUGCACCAUCGCACCACCCUCUAUCAUCUGAUGGCGCACUUCGUGCGCAUCUGCAGACUGCAGCACGCCCGGGGCUUCAAGGAACCGCCCACGGUGCUGAUCCAAGUACUGUGCCACUUGUUUCUCCGGCCGCCAUGGGAGCAAAUUAUUCAAGUCGUUCACAAUACCGAAGCACACAUACGCAUCAUGGAGCUUCUUCUGCUGAAGUGCGACUGGUGCGAGCGUCUGCCAGAAUUUUCGAGUCCUCCGCAAUUGCCACCGCGAAAAGUGUCUAGGGCGCAGUUCACAGUCGCCGAGGCCCAGCAGUUCUUCGCCGCUCACGAAGAGCAGCAACUUCAGCAAAAUGCUCUUGCCUUCGGACAUACUUUGGAGCCUCAAACAAAAGAAAGACCACGCAAUCUUCACGAAGCCGAAUGGUAUUGGGGUGACAUAACGCGCGACGAGGUCAACGAAAAAAUGAUCGACACUCCGGACGGUACCUUCCUCGUGCGCAAUGCCAGCAGCAAAGGUGGCGAGUACACGCUCACGCUACGGAAAGGUGGCGCCAACAAGCUCAUCAAGAUCAGCCAUCGCGCCGGAAAGUACGGCUUUUCCGAGCCCUACUCGUUCCUGAGUGUCAUCGACCUCGUCGAGCACUAUCGCAACUGCUCGCUCGCCCAGUACAACGCGACCCUCGACAUCAAGCUGCUGUAUCCUAUCUCGAGGUUCCAGCAGGACGACGAGAUCACGGGCUCGAUGGAUCCCACCAAAGCCAUGCAAAAAUACGUCGAGUUGGAGCGCGAGAUAAUGCUCACGAUGAACAAGUAUCAGGAAAUCUACGAGCUGUUCAAUCGUGCGAGUCAGGAGGUGACGCUCAAACACAACGCACUGGAGGCUUUUACGGAGACCGUGAGGAUGUUUGAGGACCAGCUCAAUGCACACGGCAAGUUCCAGAAAGAGGCUCAGCCUCACGAGGUCGCGCUUUUGUUGGAAAAUGACGAUGCACUGAGGAGAAAACUUCAAGUAUGUCGAGAAAGUAAGGACACAGUUGACAAAAGUUUACAGACACAAAUAGCUCAUACGAGAAGUCUCGAACGAGAGAUGAGCAAGUACAAACAGGAGGUUUUACAACUCGGACGUAGUAAAGACAAGUAUACUGCUUGGUUACGGAAAAAUGGCGUAAAUCAAACAAAGAUAUCACAAUUAUCGGGCUUGAACCAGAACCGCGAUGCCAACAUCGAUUUACAAGAGAUCGAUCUAGAGGUUCAUAAAGACGAAAAAACAUGGCUGUAUCUCGAAGGUUCAAGAAACGAUGCCGAUCGAAUUCUCAACGAUAAGCCCGAAGGUACAUUCUUCAUCAGACGUUCUAGAAUGGGCCAGUAUGCCUUGUCUAUCAUGUGCAACAAAACCGUCAACCACUGUAUUAUUUACGCAACGGAACGAGGCUUUGGCUUUGCCGAGCCUUACAACAUUCACGAGUCGCUGCGCCAUUUGGUACUUCACUACGCUCAGAAUUCGUUGGAAGAGCACAACGAGCAGCUCACGACUACUUUGGCUUACCCGGCAUUCGCACCAGCCGCUGCACUUAGCAAGUUGCAAGCUCAACGGCAAGUACAAUUACAGCAGCAAGCGUUGCCGCAGACGCAAGCUGUUGCCGGCACCGGCACUGGUGCGACAGCUGCUACCGCUACUCAAGUCUAUCAGCAGCCACUCCAAUUACUCAGCACCCAGUAAAUAUUAUAUUUAAAAAAAAAACGCGAUCAAAAUCGCGAGGUGAUAAUACCUAUUAUCUGUAUAUAGAUAUAUUUAUCAAAAUCUCCCCGUAUGUUACGGCGUGAACUGACGAUUACAUAUACUAUAUAUUACAUAUAUAUUUAAAUGUCGAGAGAUGAAGUAUGAAGAAGUAAAAGAAAAAAGAGGUAGAGUGAUAUAGUCGCGUGCGUGUGUGCGUUCAUAUUAUGCCCACGUUUCGUCUAGCUUCUUCGGCGUCAGGUACGCGUCGAGCGACACGACUUUUAACAAUCUCCAAUUUGUGAAACAAAACAAAUGAAACUCACGCGUGUAUGUUACAAGAAAAUUAUUUAAUUUAUUUAUAUACCGUAAAACGGUAUGUUAUGUAUUGGACUAUACAUACAUACGCAUGUACGUGUGCAAGGCUGCAUAACCAGAAGGAGAGAAAAUUUCAGUCGUACUGAUAAUGAUAAUGAUAUUUGCAAUUCGCCGAGAUAAUGUCAUACAUGAAAGGGAAAUUUGAAAUCCAUUACUUACAUUACAACGAAGUUCUGUCAUAUUUGAUAAAAACAUUUAAAACAUUGAAAGGCGAAGUAGUAAGGCGAAGGUUUUUGCAAGAGUAAGAAGCGGUAGACGUCAGACGUUUUGGCAGAGUUUUUUUAUACGUAGAUUGUAAGUGCUUCCGUGCCAGGGUACGAUGAAGACUAUCGAACAAAAAAUAAAUUAUAAGAAUAUUCGCAGGAAAUUAAUGAUAUGCGAUUAUAAAACGAUAAAUGAUCAUAACGAAUAAUGAUAUAAACGAGAAAAAAGAGGAGAGCAAGAAAGGUAGGAAGCGGGAGUAGGAGUUUUUUUUAGGAAUAAUUAUCUGUGAUUAUCGAAGUGUGAAUAUAGUAAACGAUGAUGAUAAUGAAUUAUAUGGCGAAGAAUGGCUUUUCGAUAGUACGUUUUAAAAUGCAUUUAAGCAGAAGUAAAAAAAGAGACAAAGUGAGAAAAAAUUCGGAAUAAAAUGCGUAAAUUUAUUGAUUAGUUGUUCGACAAUUCUAUUAUAAUAAAUAAUAAUAAUGAUAAAUAUACAAAUGACAAAAGAAAAAAAAAUGAUGAUAAAAAUGAUAAAACUAUUGUGAUCGGGGGGCGAGCGACGACUUCACAUGCUAUAUGCGGACGCAAACGACGUUGAUAUACUAUUGAUAAUAAAAGCGAGUAGCGGGUCUGUCCUCGCAAAGAAAGGAGAGGCCCUCCCACGGCCGAUAAUAAUAUAUCUAAACAUAAUAGCGUGAAUAAAAUCGCGUCGAUAACUCAUGGUAACUACAUGAGACCCGAAGUAAAAUAUUAAAUGUCUAUUAAUAACGUAAAUACAUCAUAUUUAUCACUUACUUUCGUGGAAGAAAAAAUAGAGAGCAUCAACAAUUGGCAAAACUUACUUUCCUUGUUGCAAUGCCGAAAGAUCUUUUCUGCAUCAUCACUUUUCAAUUUCUUUGUUUUCGUUUUUCACUAAGCGAUACAUAAAAAUAUCUCAAGAUAGUUCGGCUUUUUCUGUUAUGUAUAUCUUGAAAUAAAGACAUGUUUAGACGGUGCUGCGCUCGGACUCGUUAUAAUUUGAUCUCUUUGUAUUAAAUUUAGUGCGAACACUUACACGUAUCACUUAUAGAUUUUUAAACUUAUAAAUAAAUCAAUUCGGUACUCUUUUUAAAUGCGGAUACAAACCCGCCAGCAUCGUAAACUGUUUUUUUCUUUAAAUAUAAUUCACACAGAUAUUAAAACAUUCGUGUACCAACGCUAACAAUACGUUAUGAAUAAUUGUAAAAAUUUUUAGAAUCCGUGUGUAUUUUUUCACUUGGUUGUACAUAAAUAUUGUAAUUGAAGAUUUGCACAGAAAUUGUGUCUUUAUCACGAUUAAUGCACGUUCAAACUUGGUGUUGUUUUUAUCAAUAAUUUUACUGCUUCUUUCUUGAAAUUAUAUAUUAUACUUUAAAAGUAACAAAUGCUUAAUUAAUAAUUACAGAAAAAUUUUCUUUACUAAUUAAGCAUUUGUCCCUGUAGUAAAAAUUAGAACUUAAAUUAAAAUUUCUCUUUGCAAAAGUUUUUAGUGCAACAAA